rnacentral:rRNA from 1 species
UAAAUGGCUGCGGUAAUUUGACCGUACAAAGGUAGCAUAAUCAUUAGUUUAUUAAUUGUGAACUGGAAUGAAUGAUUGGACAAAAGAAAUACUGUUUCUUUUUUAAUUAGAUGAAUUUUAUUUGUUAGUGAAAAAGCUACCAUAAAUAUGAAAGACGAGAAGACCCCGUAGAGUUUUAUUAAAAAUUAAUUUAGGAUUAUUUUAUUGCUUGAUAAUUUAGUUGGGGUAAUUAUAUAAAUUAAUUUAUACAAUUUAUUUACUGAAUGGUAUUUGUUUGAACUAUUUAAUAGGUGUUUGAUUAAAUUACCUUGGGGAUAACAGCAUAAUUUAAUUAGGGAGUUCUUAUCUAUAAUUAAGUUUGUGACCUCGAUGUUGGAUUAAGAAUAUAACGGGGUGCAAAAGCUUUGGUUAUAAGUCUGUUCGACUUUUAAAUUCUUACAUGAUCUGAGUUCAAACCGGCGUGAGCCAGGUUG